ensembl:snoRNA U3 Small nucleolar RNA U3
AAGACUAUAAUUUCAGGUAUCAUUUCUAUAGUUCAUUACUAGAGAAGUUUCUCUGAAUGUGUAGAGCACCUUAAGGUUGUGAAAAAAUGAAU